GAUGAACGCUAGCGGCAGGCUUAACACAUGCAAGUCGAGGGGUAUAGUUCUUCGGAACUAGAGACCGGCGCACGGGUGCGCAACGCGUAUGCAAUCUACCUUUUGCAGAGGGAUAGCCCAGAGAAAUUUGGAUUAAUACCUCAUAGUAUGUGAGAAUGGCAUCAUUUUCACAUUAAAGUCACAACGGCAAAAGAUGAGCAUGCGUCCCAUUAGCUUGUUGGUAAGGUAACGGCUUACCAAGGCAACGAUGGGUAGGGGUCCUGAGAGGGAGAUCCCCCACACUGGUACUGAGACACGGACCAGACUCCUACGGGAGGCAGCAGUGAGGAAUAUUGGACAAUGGGCGCAAGCCUGAUCCAGCCAUGCCGCGUGCAGGAUGACGGUCCUAUGGAUUGUAAACUGCUUUUGUACAGGAAGAAACACUGGUUCGUGAACCAGCUUGACGGUACUGUAAGAAUAAGGAUCGGCUAACUCCGUGCCAGCCGCCGCGGUAAGAC
rnacentral:rRNA from 1 species